rnacentral:rRNA from 1 species
CUACGGGGCGCAGCAGUGAGGAAUAUUGCACAAUGGGGGGAACCCUGAUGCAGCAACGCCGCGUGGAGGAUGACGCAUUUCGGUGUGUAAACUCCUUUUAUAUGUCAAGAAAAUGACGGUAGCAUAUGAAUAAGCACCGGCUAACUCCGUGCCAGCAGCCGCGGUAAUACGGAGGGUGCAAGCGUCACUCGGAAUCACUGGGCGUAAAGGACGCGUAGGCGGGCUUGUAAGUCAGGUGUGAAAUCCUACAGCUUAACUGUAGAACUGCACUUGAAACUACGAGCCUAGAGUAUGGGAGGGGGAGAUGGAAUUAGUGGUGUAGGGGUAAAAUCCGUAGAUAUCACUAGGAAUACCUGAAGCGAAGGCGAUCUCCUGGAACAUAACUGACGCUAAGGCGUGAAAGCGUGGGGAGCAAACAGGAUUAGAUACCCCUGUAGUC